rnacentral:rRNA from 1 species
GCAACGCGAAGAACCUUACCUGGUCUUGACAUCCUGGUGACGCAUGGGCAAAGCCAUGUUUCCCUCGGGACACCGGAGACAGGUGGUGCAUGGUUGUCGUCAGCUCGUGUCGUGAGAUGUUGGGUUAAGUCCCGCAACGAGCGCAACCCCUAUUUCCAGUAGCCAGCAUUUAAGAUGGGCACUCUGGAGAGACUGCCCGGGAUAACCGGGAGGAAGGCGGGGAUGACGUCAAAUCAUCAUGCCCCUUAUGAUCAGGGCUACACACGUGCUACAAUGGCGUAAACAAAGGGAAGCAAAGCGGUGACGCCAAGCAAAUCCCAAAAAUAACGUCCCAGUUCGGAUUGUAGUCUGCAACCCGACUACAUGAAGCUGGAAUCGCUAGUAAUCGCGGAUCAGAAUGCCGCGGUGAAUACGUUCCCGGGUCUUGUACACACCGCCCGUCACACCAUGGGAGUCGGAAAUGCCCGAAGUCAGUGACCCAACCGUAAGGAAGGAGCUGCCGAAGGUGGAGCCGGUAACUGGGGUGAAGUCGUAACAAGGUAACCG